rnacentral:rRNA from 1 species
UUGGAGGGCAAGUCUGGUGCCAGCAGCCGCGGUAAUUCCAGCUCCAAUAGCGUAUAUUAAAGUUGUUGCAGUUAAAAAGCUCGUAGUUGAAUUUCGGGAUUCUUCCGUUGGUCAGGCUAACAAGUCUGUACUAGCGUGUAGAAUCUCUACCUUCUGGGGAACCAUCAUGUUAUUAAUUUAGCGUGGUGGGAAACCAGGACCUUUACCUUGAAAAAAUUAGAGUGUUCAAAGCAGGCUUACGUCUGAAUACAUUAGCGUGGAAUAAUAAAAUAGGACGGUGGUCCUGUUUUGUUGGUUUCUGAAUCACCGUAAUGAUUAAUAGGGAUAGUUGGGGGCAUUAGUAUUCAAUUGUCAGAGGUGAAAUUCUUGGAUUUAUUGAAGACUAACUUCUGCGAAAGCACUUGCCAAGGAUGUUUUCAUUAAUCAAGAACGAAAGUUAGGGGAUCGAAGACGAUCAGAUACCGUCGUAGUCUUAACCAUAAACUAUGCCGACUAGGGAUCGGACGAUGUUAAAUUUUAUUGACUCGUUCGGCGCCUUACGGGAAAC